AGCGAUCGGGGGCAAAUUGUCUGGUCGCAGGUGUGUGUGGGGAGAGUGUGGGGUGCCAGGAAGGUGGAGGGGAGUUUUCUACAGUGUUAUCAAAUACAGAAAAUAUCAAAGCCAAAGCAUUGUCACGACGGAAUUCCGAGGGGGUUAUUUUGGGCAUCAAGUAUUGUUUUGUUUUGUUUUUUCGACAUCCAAAAACUGUGGGAUUGAACUUGACACCAAGGUUUCUUCUGUUCCAGUAACUGCUUUGGAUUAAAUCAAAGAUGCAGGUUUCAGCCACCACCAAGUUCCCUAAACCUCAUCCACACAGAUUAGCCUUAUAUUCAAGUCAAAUUACUUCUAUUCCUCCAAUUGAACAGCCUGCACUUCUGUCUAGUUUCCUCAACAGCCGUUGUCUUUCUAAUCAUCUUUACACAAUGUUUUGAGCAAGGGCCACUUUUCUCUAAACUUACACUCUGAUUUGGAAACCCAUGAAUCUGUGAAUUCAGGGAAGAGACUUGAAUAAUGCUAAGCUCAAACUGUUGUCUUUACCUUCUUGCUGAAACAGUGUCAUCAGCCCUCAAACAUGUGGAGACUUACCUAAAACAGAGACUUUCUUCAGACCUGCUGGAACUCUGACCUCUCGACUUUGACCUGGAGCAGUCACCAUGCCCUAUACAAAAAUCCCCAGAUCACCCUGUGAUGAUGAUGAUGAUGAUGAUGAUGAUACUGUUCUCUCCCAUUCUUAUAUAAUGUCCUUAUGUUGUGUUUUAUAUCAUUGUUUUCAUGUCAUAUAAAUGGAGAUCAUAAUAGUCCAAGAGUAAAUGCUGACACAGGAUCAGCUCCUCCAUCGUCUAUAUGCAGUAACAUUGGGAAAUGAAAGCAUAAAAAAUUGAUCCCAGUUAGCACAAUGUUUUGAUUUCUAUACCUACGACGUCAGACGUUUGCGCCUCUGUAGGACGUGCUGAAAGGCACUGAUACAGAUGAAAUACCCUAGAAAUACUUUUCAGUUAAAAAAAAAAAAGAGGAAAGGUAAACUGUCACCGUGUUAAACCGUGUGUAGUGUGGAUUAUGUCUGUGAAAUGUGUGAAAGGUCGAAAGAGUUCAAAAUAAAAAUAAAAAAAUAAAAAAACCACGAGAAGUAUAUCAUAACUAAUGCUUUAGACAUUAAUGCUGAUCCACUACAGGAAGAACAGGAACAAGUGCAAACAAGCGAAGGCUUACUGUCAAACCGACUGUGUUUUUGAUGUCUAAUAUGCCAGCAGAAGUCUGUUCAGAGAGUGGUGCUGGGAAACCUAUGCCAUAUGUCACCAUGGUCUUGGGAAACCCCAUCGUCCUGCACAUUUUAUUACUUUCCCUGGUUCGAACAUAUCUGAUUCAACUAGCUAGCUGAGAAAGAGCUCUACGUUGACAUGGGAGAGCAGGAAAAGCAUAAAAUCGUGCAGGACAGGGCGUUCCUCAGGACCAGUGCUCGCCAGUUAACCAAGAAGCAGUGCCAUGCUGCCAUCUAGAGGCUCGGCAAUGAAAAGCCUUUGUUUCGACCAGCACUACUUCAGAACGCUCAAAAGUAGCCACCUGUUAGUCCCCAACCCAUAUGCAAGAUACACGGUAAGACAUUAAGCUACUGUUGAUCUCUCAUAUCAGAGGAACCGUUCCAUAACUGCAGAAUUAGAAACCAUUUGAUCAAAACACACGCGUGCGCAAUUCAAUAGAGAACACGUUCUAGCAGCUCAGAGGUAAGAGACAUGGAGAAAACCGGACCAUGAAACACAGUAGGUUUCCGAUACAUCAAGUCCUUAAGAACUAAUUUAUUUAGCUACCUUCAAAAUGUAAUGCUUAUUUCCUGUUGAGAUGUCUAUUCUAGCAACUAUUAAUAUAAAAUUCAGGAUUUAACCUUUUUGAUUCUAUUCAAGUCUUUGUCUUAUGUGGCUUGUCUUUAAAUGUCUAAGCUCAUAUUGGUUUUUCGUGUGGUCAAGUAGUGGUUCUGGAGGGAAAAAAAGCCACAUUCUCAAUGAAAAUGUCUUUGUAUUUACUGAAAUUUCAUUGUCAAAUUCUUUUCAUUAUUAUUAUUCUCUUGCUGUGUUAGCAUGUUCUUUGUUUAACCAGUGUUCAACAGACACCUGGAAAAGAAGGUUCUGACUGUAGUGCUUGUUUAAUAAACAGUUGCUGACUUU